UAAUGUCGGCGCAAUUAUCAUUUUGGCAGAUAUUGGGAAGAAGGUGUAAGUCCUUCACUGUCCCCGCAACUGUAAAUGCAAACGCAUAAGUCAGAUACCAAGGCUAAAAUGAGAGUUUGA
rnacentral:ncRNA from 2 species